rnacentral:tRNA from 2 species
CUGGAGCGGUGAGGUUAGCCUGUACCGGCCCUUUCGCGGCUAAAGCCGCUAACACCGGCGAAGCCGGUGCCAGACCGACGCAGCAGU